rnacentral:rRNA from 1 species
GAUGAACGCUGGCGGCGUGCUUAACACAUGCAAGUCGAACGAAGCACUUUAACCUGAUUCUUCGGAUGAAGGUUUUUGUGACUGAGUGGCGGACGGGUGAGUAACGCGUGGGUAACCUGCCUCAUACAGGGGGAUAACAGUUAGAAAUGACUGCUAAUACCGCAUAAGACCACAGAGCCGCAUGGCUCGGUGGGAAAAACUCCGGUGGUAUGAGAUGGACCCGCGUCUGAUUAGGUAGUUGGUGGGGUAACGGCCUACCAAGCCAACGAUCAGUAGCCGAGCUGAGAGGGGGACCGGCCACAUUGGGACUGAGACACGGCCCAAACUCCUACGGGAGGCAGCAGUGGGGAAUAUUGCACAAUGGGGGAAACCCUGAUGCAGCGACGCCGCGUGAGCGAAGAAGUAUUUCGGUAUGUAAAGCUCUAUCAGCAGGGAAGAAAAUGACGGUACCUGACUAAGAAGCACCGGCUAAAUACGUG